AAAAUACGAGAAUAUAAAAAAAAAAAAACAUUACUACUACUACUAGUAGUAGUACUACAAUAAAUGGUUUGAAUAAUGGUAUGGGAAAAUAUAAUACGAUUUCAAACGUUAAUAGUAUGAUUUAUGCAGAUGGAUCCGAUGGUGCAUGUGUGUCGGGAAAUGUGAGUAGUUUGAGUAAUGUUAGUAGUUUGAGUAGUGUUAGUAGUUUGAGUAAUGUAAAUAAUGUAAGUAACAUUAGUAGUGUGAAUAAUGUUAGUAGUAUGAACGAUGCAGGCCAUAAAGUGAAAAUGUUAGCAAUAGAUUGUGAUGAUGGUACUACUAGUAAUACUGAAAGUAUAUGUACCCUAAAUUUAAGUGAAAUAAAAGAAUCUUGUAAAAAUCACAUUCCUCGUAUUAUAAGAUCAACUACUGACACAUUUUUACCAAACGGUUUUUUAAAUGAACAAUCUCAAAUUACGUUUGAAAAUAAUAUAACGAAUAGUGUUGUAGAUAUGUUUACUUCUUUUAUGAAAAUAAAUAUAGCAGCAUUAAAUAAAAACAUAAUUUUUGAUAAAAUAAAUGAUUCAGUAACCAGUGAAGUAAACAAAUCUGUUGAUAAUAUGCGUAAGACUUUUAAAAAUCAUAUGCGUGGAGAGUUAAAUGAUGAAAUUGACAAAAAUAUUAUCCUUUUAAAUACUAAAAUGAAUAAAAAUAUAAACAAAGAAGUUAAAGAUUGUAUGGAAAAUAUACAUACAAAAGUAAAUGAACAAGUAGAAAAAAAAAAAAAAAAAAAAAAAAAAAAAAAAAAAAAAAAAAAAAAAAAAAAACGAUAGGCCAUUACAUAAUAAUUUUAUACCGUUCUAGGUAAUGAUAUUUAUGUUCAAUACCUAUCAUAUCUAAAAAGGAAAUGUGCAAUGAGUAUUUUUACACAUCGCAAUUUGCAAAAAGAAUUUUUUUUUUUUUUUAUAUGCUUUUGAAAAAAAAAAAAUUACAUAUAUAUGUAUAAUAGGCAAUAAUGUUUAUGCUUCUACAUACAUAUAUACGUAUAUACGUGCGUUUAUAUAUAUAUAUAUAUAUAUAUAGAUAUACGUAUACAUAUAUAUAUGUAUAUAGAUAAACAGGUAUAUGCGUGAUUUUUCGAUUUGUUAAAAACAAAUAAAUGAAACAAUAUUUACA
rnacentral:lncRNA from 1 species